rnacentral:tRNA from 1 species
GCCUGGGUGGCUCAGUCAAGUUAAGCAUCUGACUUCAGCUCAGGUCAUGAUCUCACAGUUUUGUGGGUUUGAGCCCCGCGUCGGGCU